GCGGAUAUGAUGGAAUUGGCAGACAUGCCAGGUUUAGGUUCUGGUGACCUUACUCAGUCGUGGGGGUUCAAAUCCCUCUAUCCGUA
rnacentral:tRNA from 1 species